UCGCGAGGACAGCAAUCUCAUAAACCGUGGCUCAGUUCAGAUCGUAGGCUGCAACUCGCCUACGUGAAGGAGGAAUCGCUAGUAAUCGCAGGUCAGCAUACUGCGGUGAAUACGUUCCCGGGCCUUGUACACACCGCCCGUCACACCAUGGAAGUUGGCCACGCCCGAAGCCGUUACUCCAACCCUUGUGGAGGAGGACGUCGAAGGUGGGGCUGAUGACUGGGGUGAAGUCGUAACAAGGUAGCCGUACCGGAAGGUGCGGCUGGAUCACCUCCUAACA
rnacentral:rRNA from 1 species